GGUUAAGCGACUAAGCGUACACGGUGGAUGCCCUGGCAGUCAGAGGCGAUGAAGGACGUGCUAAUCUGCGAUAAGCGCCGGUAAGGUGAUAUGAACCGUUAUAACCGGCGAUUUCCGAAUGGGGAAACCCAGUGUGAUUCGUCACACUAUCAUUAACUGAAUCCAUAGGUUAAUGAGGCGAACCGGGGGAACUGAAACAUCUAAGUACCCCGAGGAAAAGAAAUCAACCGAGAUUCCCCCAGUAGCGGCGAGCGAACGGGGAGGAGCCCAGAGCCUGAAUCAGCAUGUGUGUUAGUGGAAGCGUCUGGAAAGGCGCGCGAUACAGGGUGACAGCCCCGUACACAAAAGCGCAUGUGCUGUGAGCUCGAUGAGUAGGGCGGGACACGUGGUAUCCUGUCUGAAUAUGGGGGGACCAUCCUCCAAGGCUAAAUACUCCUGACUGACCGAUAGUGAACCAGUACCGUGAGGGAAAGGCGAAAAGAACCCCGGCGAGGGGAGUGAAAAAGAACCUGAAACCGUGUACGUACAAGCAGUGGGAGCACAGGUUUACCUGUGUGACUGCGUACCUUUUGUAUAAUGGGUCAGCGACUUAUAUUCUGUAGCAAGGUUAACCGUAUAGGGGAGCCGUAGGGAAACCGAGUCUUAACCGGGCGUUAAGUUGCAGGGUAUAGACCCGAAACCCGGUGAUCUAGCCAUGGGCAGGUUGAAGGUUGGGUAACACUAACUGGAGGACCGAACCGACUAAUGUUGAAAAAUUAGCGGAUGACCUGUGGCUGGGGGUGAAAGGCCAAUCAAACCGGGAGAUAGCUGGUUCUCCCCGAAAGCUAUUUAGGUAGCGCCUCGUGAAUUCAUCUCCGGGGGUAGAGCACUGUUUCGGCUAGGGGGCCAUCCCGGCUUACCAACCCGAUGCAAACUGCGAAUACCGGAGAAUGUUAUCACGGGAGACACACGGCGGGUGCUAACGUCCGUCGUGAAGAGGGAAACAACCCAGACCGCCAGCUAAGGUCCCAAAGUCAUGGUUAAGUGGGAAACGAUGUGGGAAGGCCCAGACAGCCAGGAUGUUGGCUUAGAAGCAGCCAUCAUUUAAAGAAAGCGUAAUAGCUCACUGGUCGAGUCGGCCUGCGCGGAAGAUGUAACGGGGCUAAACCAUGCACCGAAGCUGCGGCAGCGACGCUUAUGCGUUGUUGGGUAGGGGAGCGUUCUGUAAGCCUGCGAAGGUGGCCUGUGAGGGUUGCUGGAGGUAUCAGAAGUGCGAAUGCUGACAUAAGUAACGAUAAAGCGGGUGAAAAGCCCGCUCGCCGGAAGACCAAGGGUUCCUGUCCAACGUUAAUCGGGGCAGGGUGAGUCGACCCCUAAGGCGAGGCCGAAAGGCGUAGUCGAUGGGAAACGGGUUAAUAUUCCCGUACUUGGUGUUACUGCGAAGGGGGGACGGAGAAGGCUAUGUUGGCCGGGCGACGGUUGUCCCGGUUUAAGCGUGUAGGUGUGUGUUCCAGGUAAAUCCGGUUCACUUUAACACUGAGGCGUGACGACGAGGCACUACGGUGCUGAAGCAACAAAUGCCCUGCUUCCAGGAAAAGCCUCUAA
rnacentral:rRNA from 1 species